rnacentral:lncRNA from 1 species
GUACCCAGUAGUCAUUCAGGAGCAGGUUGUUCAGUUUCCAUGUAGUUGAGCAGUUUUGAGUGAGAUUCUUAAUCCCGAGUUCUAGUUUGAUUGCACUGUGGUCUGAGAGAGAGUUUGUUAUAAUUUCUGUUCUUUUACAUUUGCUGAGGAGAGCUUUACUUCCAAGUAUGUGGUCAAUUUUGGAAUAGGUGUGGUGCUGAAAGAAAUGUAUAUUCUGUUGAUUUGGGGUGGAGAGUUCUGUAGAUGUCUAUUAGGUCCGCUUGGUGCAGAGUUGAGUUCAAUUCCUGGGUAUCCUUGUUGACUUUCUGUGUCAUUGAUCUGUCUAAUGUUGACAGUGGGGUGUUAAAGUCUCCCAUUAUUAAUGUGUGGGAGUCUAAGUCUCUUUGUAGGUCACUCAGGACUUGCUUUAUGAAUCUUGGUGCUCCUGUAUUGGGUGCAUAUAUAUUUAGGAUAGUUAGCUCUUCUUGUUGAAUUGAUCCCUUUACCAUUAUGUAAUGGCCUUCUUUGUCUCUUUUGAUCUUUGUUGGUUUAAAGUCUGUUUUAUCAGAGACUAGUAUUGCAACCCCUGCCUUUUUUUGUUUUCCAUUUGCUUGGUAGAUCUUCAAGGAGAACUACAAACCACUGCUCAAGGAAAUAAAAGAGGAUACAAACAAAUGGAAGAACAUUCCAUGCUCAUGGGUAGGAAGAAUCAAUAUCAUGAAAAUGGCCAUACUGCCCAAGGUAAUUUACAGAUUCAAUGCCAUCCCCAUCAAGUUACCAAUGCCUUUCUUCACAGAAUUGGAAAAAACU